rnacentral:rRNA from 1 species
GUAACACAUCGGAACGUACCCAGUAGCGGGGGAUAGCCCGGCGAAAGCCGGAUUAAUACCGCAUACGCCCUACGGGGGAAAGGGGGGGAUCGCAAGACCUCUCACUAUUGGAGCGGCCGAUGGCUGAUUAGCUAGUUGGUGGGGUAAAGGCCUACCAAGGCAACGAUCAGUAGCUGGUCUGAGAGGACGACCAGCCACACUGGGACUGAGACACGGCCCAGACUCCUACGGGAGGCAGCAGUGGGGAAUUUUGGACAAUGGGCGAAAGCCUGAUCCAGCAAUGCCGCGUGUGCGAAGAAGGCCUUCGGGUUGUAAAGCACUUUUGUCAGGGAAGAAAUCGUUCGGGCUAAUACCUCGGGCAGUUGACGGUACCUGAAGAAUAAGCACCGGCUAACUACGUGCCAGCAGCCGCGGUAAUACGUAGGGUGCAAGCGUUAAUCGGAAUUACUGGGCGUAAAGCGUGCGCAGGUGGUUCGUUAAGACAGUUGUGAAAUCCCCGGGCUUAACCUGGGAACUGCAAUUGUGACUGGCGGACUAGAGUUUGGCAGAGGGGGGUGGAAUUCCUGGUGUAGCAGUGAAAUGCGUAGAUAUCAGGAGGAACACCGAUGGCGAAGGCAGCCCCCUGGGCCAUGACUGACACUCAUGCA